GAUGAACGCUGGCGGCGUGCCUAAUACAUGCAAGUCGAGCGAAGAGACGAGGAGCUUGCUCCUCGGACGUUAGCGGCGGACGGGUGAGGAACACGUGGAUAACCUACCUAUAAGACUGGGAUAACUUCGGGAAACCGGAGCGAAUACCGGAGAAUAUAUUGAACCGCAUGGUUCAAUAGUGAAAGACGGUUUUGCUGUCACUUAUAGAUGGAUCCGCGCCGCAUUAGCUAGUUGGUAAGGUAACGGCUUACCAAGGCAACGAUGCGUAGCCGACCUGAGAGGGUGCUCGGCCACACUGCAGCUGCGGCGCGGUCCAGCCUCCUCCGGGGGGCGGCAGUAGGGGAUCUUCCGCCAUGGGCGACAGCCUGACGGAGCAGCGCCGCGUGAGUGAUGAUGGUCUUCGGCUCGUAGAACUCUGUUAUUAGGGAAGAACAAAUGUGUAAGUAACUAUGCACGUCUUGACGGUACCUAAUCAGAAAGCCACGGCUAACUACGUG
rnacentral:rRNA from 1 species